CUGCUGCGGUUCAAAAGUAGUUCAUUCAUUUAUGUCUUUAACAUAUUUAUUGGAAUUGGUGAUCGACCACAGUGAACAGAACCAUUUAACAGUGCUGAAAGCUCAUUUAAACUCAGGGUUGAUCUCUGUUUAAAUGAGCUUGAUGGAAGCCCGCCUUUCCCCUUCAGCAGACCGGGAAGUAACCUAGAAGAGUUCCAGUCUGCGCCCUACCAGCCAGCCCCUGUGGCAAUAAAGGAGGGCUCCAUGGACAGCCUCUAUGAGCCAGUCCACAACACCAGUGGUGCACGGGAGCAUUUAAUUCCCAGCAGGAUGCGCAGCCGGGCAAUCCUCCCGGAGCAGAGCAGCGAGUGGCACGGCUCAGUACCGGCAUUCCCAGUGGAGCUGUCCCAACCUUGCAGAACCCGUUCAAUAAAGAAGAA